CUGAUCUGAAUCUCAAGGAUGACGAGGACUAUGAAUCUACGUGGAAGAUACUGUUGGCAGUUGUUGUUGGGGUGGUUGUCACAAAUGUUCUCCUCGUUGUCCUGUUGUCUUUCUGCAUCAGAGGCGUUAUGCCAGCGGCGGUCGAACAUGUCUACCAUGAAGUGGAUGAAAGGCUGAUGGUGGAUCUUCCUGUGACUGAGGCCAACACCAUCUACAUGCAGCCCUUUGACCCCUACUCCAUGCAGCGUUAUUUAAACAGGGGCGUGUCCUGCAUGGACACAGACGUGUGAACUGUGGCUUCUCACUGAACGAUCAUCUGUUUAAUCGUCACUCACUAUUCGAAUUUGUGUCGCUGUCCAAACUGAAUCACUGGACAAGCAAAUAUUUUUUUCUUUUGUAAACAUUCUCUCUACUGGCACUGGUGACCGCCGCCA